UACAGAGGUCCCAAGCGUUGUUCGGAUUCACUGGGCGUAAAGGGUGCGCAGGUGGGCUGGUAAGUUCGAUGUGAAAGCCCCGGGCUUAACCCGGGAAUGGCAUUGGAUACUACUGGUCUGGAGGAUUGGAGGGGGGACUGGAAUUCUUGGUGUAGCAGUGAAAUGCGUAGAUAUCAAGAGGAACACCAGUGGCGAAGGCGAGUCCCUGGACAAUACCUGACACUGAGGCACGAAAGCCGGGGGAGCAAACAGG
rnacentral:rRNA from 1 species